rnacentral:tRNA from 1 species
GCCGCUAUAGCUCAGUGGCUAGAGCGUUGGUCUCGUAAACGCAAAGUCGCGAGUUCGAAUCUCGUUGGCGGCA